rnacentral:rRNA from 1 species
CGAAACUGACAUUGAGAGACGAAAGCUAGGGGAGCAAAAGGGAUUAGAUACCCCUGUAGUCCUAGCCGUAAACGAUGGAUACUAAGUGCUGUCCGACUCAAAACGUCCAGUGCUGUAGCUAACGCGUGAAGUAUCCCGCCUGGGGAUUAUGCUCGCAAGAGUGAAACUCAAAGGAAUUGAUGGGGGCCCGCACAAGCGGUGGAGCAUGUGGUUUAAUCUGAUGCAACGCGAAGAACCUUACCAGGACUUGACAUCCCAUCUGAUUUUUUGAAAAAAAAAUCUUUAUUACUCGAUACUUUGUAAAGUGUAAAGAUAGUGACAGGUGGCUGCAUGGCUGUCGUCAGCUCGUGUCGUGAGAUGUUGGGUUAAGUCCCGCAACGAGCGCAACCCUUGUCUAUUAUUGCUAUGAUACUAAGGUAUCAGAAAUUAUAGAGACUGCCGGUGACAAGCCUGAGGAAGGUGAGGAUGACGUCAGUCGGCAUGCCCCUUAUGUCCUGGGCGACACACGUGCUACAAUGGCCGAGACAAUGAUAUGCUACUUCGUGAGAAUACGCUAACCUCAAAAACUCGGUCUUAAUUCGGAUUCAGGCUGCAACUCGCCUGCAUGAAGCUGGAAUCGCUAGUAAUCGCGCGGUCAGCCAUACGGCGGUGAAUACGUUCCCGGGCCUUGUACACACCGCCCGUCACACUAUCGGAGUUGGCUUGGCCCAAAGUCGUGACUUUAACCU